ACGAUACUUCCGAUUCGAACACAUGGUUCUCAUUCGCGGUUCCAUUCAAUCUCCAUCAUUUCGUGGUUGAAUUCAAAUUUCAACGUUGAAAUUCAACGAAGGUUUUAGAUCGCAUUCCACUCUUCAACUUUCUCUUGACUUCGGUGUCUCUUCAGCCAGAUUUCAACGAUGCUCAAAUCAAAUCUGACACAACUUGUCCUUGCAAACAUCUGACUGACUGAGCUUCAUUUUUUUGGUACUAAAUCGGUAAGGUUUUGGUUAAUUUUGUUUAAUUUUCUCAACUUGCUGAAGCAGUGAUGUAUUUGUUGUUUUUGCCCUUACCGGUUGUAGAGAAGAAAAACGCGGAUUUCGUCCUCGCUCGCAAGGUGUUCGAUGAAAUGUCCCAACCGGGUUAUUUCUUCUUUUGCUUCAGUUUUGAUUUUCUCAAGUGAUAAUAAUAUAUUGUUAUUAUCUCAAUUGCUAAAGUACAUAGCUAUCUACAUUUCAUUUAUCUACACUCUUUACAAUUGUAAAUUGCUAGAAGUACCUAACCGAAAACAGGAAAAGUGCAUCAUUGGUAGCAUAUGAUGGGCAGUAAGCGUGACUGAUAUACUUUGUUACUCUACAGUAUGGGCGAAGGUGAGAACAAUGAAGCAGAAGUGGCUGUGAUUGGAUUUUGGAGUGGAUUUGCUUGGUUGGCUGGAAUGACUGUUCAUUGCUAUAUUGUCUGAAUAUGUGGUGGAUACAAUUGAGGAUGCAUCAGAUUCGUGGGGUUUAUCUGUGAGCUUCCUCAGCAUAAUCUUGCUACCUAUAGUUGGUAAGAAUUUAUAUUAUAGUGUUACUCAAUUCCAUACUUAAUCCUUUCAUCUUAAGAUAUAAUUAAGUUCAUAUUUUCUAAGCUAUAAAGUUGAUGAAUUGAAAGAAAAAAACAUUAUUCAAGUGAAGCUGAAUUAAUUUCAUAACUUCACGACAUUUCCUUAGGUGUUACUUCGGGCUCUGCUAUUCAAAUUGCCAUGUUUGUGGUAAAUAAAUAUCUGGAAAAAAUUAAUAUUCGACCGCAAUUUAAAAACCCGACUUUAUUAAAAAAUCGUAAAAGCUAUAUAUUUUUUAGUGCAGAAAAUUGAAGCUGGGACUAGAAGCUACUAUUUUACACCAUUUGGUGCAGAAAAUUCAGCCUCAAUUUAUCAGUAUAUAUGUCUGACCUUAACAACCUCCCCUCUAAUUUUAAAGUAAUACUGUCAUUCUCGUUUAAUGCAAACAAACUUUUUAACGGUAGUGAGUAGUAACUACAAACAAGUCUUCCAAGAACUUGUGUAUAAUUUUCAAUGCCAUUGUUAUUUCUUCAUUUUAAACAUAUUAUAUAUUUUAAGACAUAGGUGAUAUAGUAAGGGAAGGGUUUGAAAUGAUAUGUUCAAUCACGAUUAAAAAUGAUAAUCACAUAGACAAUAACAAAAACAUCAAUAUGAAGCUGAUUUAAUUCAAAACUAACACUAAAGUGUAGCACACAAACAUCAUUGAGGAGAAAACAGCACCUUGAUGGGAAUAAUCUUCUCUCCAGCAUACAUAUCUUGACCUUCAUAGGAUCGAAACUCCGCUAACUGAGACUGAUCCAGAGAAAACCAAUCAAACCAACAUCAAAUAAAUCAAGUAAAAUAAAAUACAAAUCAAACACAUUAAAAAUCAAGAAACAACAUGAACAUAAUUUGCUUUUUUAUUUAAUCAAUUAAUUCCUUUGCUUUUUUGUUUAAUCAAUUAUUUUUGUUGUUGAUUUGAUGGGGUGUGUAGUUUUUAGAACUAUUCAGAUUGACUUAGUUGACCUUAAGUACUUGUGAGACCUCAUGACAGAACUUGUGAAAAUAGCUUAUUGACUUGAUUUAAAUUGUGAUUCGGUUUUAUCUUUUAUUAUAAAAAUAGCUUUUAUGUAAGCACUUGUAUAAUAAACACUUAUAAUGAUGGGUUUGUGUGUGUUUGAGUUGGCUUAUUUGAAGUUAUGUACUUAAAUAAGCACUUGUGACAACUGAUUGAUAGAAAAAAGCUAAUGAUAUGUCAUAAGAUUUCUAUGAUAGCGCAUGAAAACAACUUAUAGUUUAUGUGAAGACUAUUUGACUUUUUGGUAUAAAAAUUGAUUAUAUAUAAGCACUUAUAUGAUAAGUGUUUGUUACUAUGUUGUAAGCACUGAAUUUUAAAUUCUUUGUCCCAACAGGGCCGAGGUUUUGGCUUUUGGAGUUUAAUUCAUUUGGGGUUUUGUGGAUUUUUUAUGCUGUAGGAAACUGGAGAAUUUGAUUUGGAACUUGACAAGCCGACUAGGACUAAUGCGCCAAGGUGGAAAGUUAAGUUUAUCAUAUGAAGCAGAGAGAUAUCAACUUUAUUCCAUAAAGGUUUUGCACUUAACAUUACAUUGUUUAUUUUUUGUUUAUAAUUUAACUUUAACUUACUAAUCAUAAUUUGAUAUGGUUAAUUAGAAUUGGUCCCUAUUUGUACCAAUUUUCAUUCAUUACAUGUUAAUUUCUAGCACAUGAUUUGUCUUUUGGAGAAAACCAUUGUUGCAUAACUUUGGUGAUUAUGUAUACUAUUUAGUAUUUAGUAGAAGCAAUACAUA